GGAAGGAAGGAAGGAAGGAAGGAAGGAAGGAAGGAAGGUAGGUCUCAAAGUGUGGAAACACUAUUCUUCUUACUUUCUCUGUCCAAAUAACGUGGAUAUUAUGAUCCCAUAAAUCUGGAGGGUAGUAAGCUGGAGAAGGAUGUUACAUCAGUAUCUAUUGGACCCUAAUUCCCACUUGUAAGCAAAUAAAUACUUGUAAGUAGGCCAAUGCAUGUAUGUGUGUGUGUCUCCAACGUGAACACAUGUGUGUUUCUCACCAACUUCUCUAUUUCCUUAUCUCUUUUUGUCAGCAAACUCUGCUGAUUUAAGCCUUUUUCAUGAGGACAAAAGUAUCCAUUUCGGUCACUCUGGUGGAAAACUCACUGCCAAAGCAUCAACAAUUGAAUAAUAGUUUAUAAAGCCAGCAGGUUACAGUGAAUCCCUGGUCUCUUGCAGAGGCACCAAGAGGAAGGGCCAGAAAAUUAUAUAGGUCUUAUAUGUAGUUGAUCAAAAACUGUUUAAAUAUGAACUAGCACAAAACCUCAAGUACAAAUGGAAUUGCUUUAUAAUUGAUUUAGAAAUAAGAGAACCAGAAAGGAGCUCAGGCACAAAACUCUUCAUAAUGUAAAAUAAUUAAAGGCACAUUCCUGAAAAGGAAAGAGAUUAAUACUUUUGAUAUGUGAGUUAAUUUCUGACAGAUUGACCCCCCACCCCAUAGAAGAAAAAAAGGACAUAUAGGAGCUUAUAUUCUUGAGACCUGUCUCCUUACAAGGCAGAUAUUCUCUGAUCAGGUAGCCCUUACUAGGGACUGAUUUACAUAAUAAUAAAAAUAGCAUUUUUAACGCAUAUUAAAUGAGAGGUAUAGCAAAGGGCAUUAAAGAAACAUAUACAAUACAGAGUAUUAUAAGCAAACAAAACUUGACUCUGUACUGAUUCAUCUUGAGUUCAACCGCCAUCAUUCAUACAACUUUACACUUUGGCUAUGAAAUAAUACGUUUGGCAGAUAACCUUGAAAAUCCUACCCUUUGUUUCAAAGAGGGUAAACUCGAAUUACUUGAACGAUUCUGGCUGCUCCCUGAACGUUUUUAUAUAUUUGUAAAUGUUUAAACCACUCAUUUGUCAAAUGUCAUCCUGUUCCUUCUACCUUGCCCAACAAGAUUCUCCCUGGCUUAUUUUAACUCGUUAAAAAAAAGGAAAAAAAAUAAAGUAAAAGUUAUCUUAAAGUAGAAGCAGAAAAGUGCUAUUUAAUUAAUAAUAAUAAUGUCUGCUCUGCAACUCAUUUUGAAAUAGGAAAGUCUAGGUUUCUAGCCAUUUAAUUUGAUAGCAAUUUGUAUGAAAUUUGGUCUAGCCCAGGGGUACACAACCUUGGCUCUUUUAUGACUCAUGGACUUCAACUAUGCUGACUCAGGAAUUCUGGGAGUUGAAGUCCAUGAGUCAUAAAAGAGCCGAGGUUGCCUACCCCUGGUCUAGCCCUAUCAUUGGCCAAAGACAGGAUGGGAUCAAGCAUACUGUUAAGUAUGAAUACAGUACGGAUUAACAUCCUCGUCUCAUAAUUCUAAAAUAGCAAUGAAAGGUGUGGUCCCAUUGCAGCUGUCAAAACAAGCCUCAAUGGCCAAGCCGGAAAACUCCAGCCAAUUUAAUGAUGGGAGAAUUACUAGCCUCAUAUGUCUGGCAACCAAAAUGCCGUAAGCUAUGCUGAGCUGAUUUAUGUGGCAAAGGUUGAAGGAAAAAGAACAACCAAUAGCUAAAUGGGUGGACUCAGUUACAGUAGUGAUGAUUGCACUGUAGAUCUGAAAGACCAAAUUAGGGAUAAAUCACCAAGGAGAAAAUUUAUGUGGCCACUAAAGAGCUGACACCAGCUUGAUGGCACAUAUUAAUCAAUGUGUCUUGUUGCUAUGAAUUCAUAGGCUGCAGUGGAGAAAUACAGAGCUCCACAUACUGCAAGCAUGUACCAAGAACCUUUACAAAAAUACUAACUAGGCUUCCAAUAUGUCCAAGAUUCUGCUAGAUUCAAGGCAAGAAGAGGAGAGGAACCAGUGUUAUUCUUCAUUCUGUUCUGGAUUACAGUGUAAAGUUUACUAACUACAAAAGUAAAUUCUCUCCCUACAUAUAUAAAACAACAACUUGAUGAUAAGCGAUGUCAUUCUGGUCCAAAGUGAGUUCCCUGAUCAAACAAGGUCUUGAAUGAUUCACAUCCAGUACCAUUGGGUCUCAAAAUUAUCUACUGUAUUUCCUUCCUUUUAUGAAAUAAUUUAGACCAGCUACGAAUGAUACCUUUCUGAGGAGUGGGGACAUUACUGAAAAAUAAGUAGCAUUGGCUCUAGCCUUUUCCAAACCAUCCAUACAACAUAUCACCUUGAACCACCCUGUUCUGAAGUUAGGGAGAGAAUAUAUGGAAAUUUCCGUUCAGUUUAGAAGUGGGGAUCUUUCCAGGGCAGGAAAAUGAGAUUACCAUAAGGUUUUGUAAUCUCCUUGAAUACCUCUUGCAGAACUACUUGUGAAAUCACCAUGAGAUUAUAAAUUGCUUAAGGUAACUGUGUCUGAUAAGCCAAUUACGCCAUCUGCUUAUAGGACUGUCCUCUUUUUCCCCUACUUUCAGUGUAUUUUUUGUAAGAUAUUUGUGAUUUGAUCUUUGUGAUUUGUAUUGUAUGAAACACCGUUUCAGUCUCUCAUAUUGUAACCUUUAUUCUCAAAUAUCCUUGUCCAUUAGUCACCCUGGAAGAGCUAUACCUGAGAUGCCUUAGUUCUUUCAAAGGAUGUUUGUGAAACACCUCCUUGUGAAACAGAAGAAUAAAGGUGCUACAUCAGGAGCACCAGUUCCCAAGUUUUGUUCUUGAUCUCACUACAAGGACUAUUUAGAUGUGCACUCUGACUCCCACAGUAACCCAUAACAAUUUGUGUAGGAGCCACGUUGUUUGGGUGUGCCAUGACAUGCCAUCAUGUUCUGGACUAGCUGAAGCUACUUAGUGAUCUUCAGAGAUAGUGCCAUGUACAGCAUAAUAGUAGUCCAGAUGUGAAAUGAUCAAGCCAUGUAUGACCAUGAGAAGGGACGUCUGGUCCAGGAAUGAGGGCAAUUUUCAUAGACAAGAAAAGUCUAUGUGAAGGCCUUCCUUGACCUGCCACCUGCUCUUUGAGCAGAAGCUGAGAGUCAAAAAACACUCCCAAAUUGGAGAAGUGCAUAUACAUUAAAAAUGGGAAAGUGUCUGGGCCAGAAGGUCCAUAGCUAAUUGGUUUUGCUAACUUAAAUCUGUUUUCUCCUCCACCCUUGACCUGAACUGUCUCCAACCAUUAGGACAAGAACUUGAUAGCAUCACUUGUUGACCAGAGCCAAAAUAUACGACUACCAUCAUCAUUUGAAGAAGUUGAUAUUUGAUUCCACACCAACAGAUUAUCUCACCCAAUGAUGGAUAUAGUUGAAGGCUGGAGGAGAAUUCUCCAGGACUAUUCAGUUCAUAGAAUGAUCUUGAAGAGGGAACACAUCACCAGGUUUUUGGCAAUUCAACGCAAACCACGGAUUCAUGAAGCAAUUUAAAGGACAUUUUUAGAGACUGUGAUGAUACACAUCCCCUUUUAAAAUACAUCGCAAGAGUGUGGGAGAAGGGGAAAAAAAUGUGGAAUGGGAUUAUACCGUUACCCAGCAUCUAUUUAGAGGUAAGGAGGGAAAGGUACAAGAAGUGCAAUGUAUACAAGAAGUACAAUGCUUGCUACCCUUCCUGCUGUAAGCUCAUGAAGACCCUUAAUCUAUUGAAGAGAUAACAGAUGCAAUGAGGCUUUAUGCGUGCAGUUCUCAUCAUAAUAUUUAAAAUCCCCCACAGUCAGGGUUGAAAACCAUGUCAUAAGCCAAUCUCAACUGAGAAGGCUCUGAACUCCCCCCCCCCCGAAUUAGAGGGAAACAAGCAAGCAAACAGAAAGAUACAGAAAGAAUGGGACCUACUCUUUUCCCUCAGGCAAUGUAGAGGAUAUGUAGGGCUCUGGGAAGCUUGCUACUAUGUGAAGGGUGCAUUUUACUGGACAAUCUUGAAUUCAUUCAAUAUUUUAUAGAAUCUUUUUUUGCCUUUCCUCUGCAAUCUUCUCCUUGAAACCCUCUCUCCUGCCCAACCUAGGAUUUCUUUUUAUGUGGUAGGGAAGGAAAUGAGAAUGCAAGAAUUAGUAAUGGUCCCAUCACUCUUUUGGGAGGGAGAGAUCAGAAGGUUGGACUGAAAAAUGGAGCUAGUCC